CUCUAGCUUGACGGUAGGAGGGCAGAGACAGUUCUGGAAGCAGCUACGGGGUUUCCCUCGGCUAUAAAGCAGGGAACUGCCGCUGCUGCUUCAGUCACGCUGAGGACGGAACAUCUGGACCCACCGGAACCGGCCAGAACCGCCUCCCGGGUCUCCGAACCAAAUGUACCCGUCCGUGAGGCAAACACUGAGGUUUCCAUAGAAACAGAAGUAAAAGAUGGAGUCAGCGCGUGGCUGGGUUUAGACUCUGCCUCGCGCUAAACUAAAGGAUCCAGAUUAAACCACAGCUGGGACCAGGAAACUAAGUUUGGUUUAAAAGUGAAUAAAGUCAGAUUUAAGCUUUGAUGAACUAUCAGGUUUAAUUAGAAAAGAUCUAAGGGAGUUAUCGGCUCAUUCGUUUAGACCAGUGUUUUUCAACCCUGGUCCUGAAGGCACAAUGAUCUGCAUGUUCUAGAUGUUUCCCAGCUUUCACACACCUGUUAGCAAUUGAUAGCAGAUUAUCAGGCUUUGCUGAAGCUCAGAAACAUCCAGAACAUGCAGAGCAGGAAGCCUUCAGGACCAGGAGGGAAAAACACAGGUUUAGACCUCUGAUCUUCAACAAGAAGUGGCUGAGGCCGGUUUGAACCGGUUUAAACCUGCUCUGACUGUAAGGGUCUAGAAGGUUCUGGAGAGCAGGGGCGGGGCUAGUCAGCUCAGGGGUUCCCCCUAGUGGAGGUGGAGGGGAUGGUUGGAAUGUGAAACAUUUUAUUUCAGGCUGUGUCUUAUGUAAAUGAACCGGAUUCUGUUUAAAAUCAUAAACUGUUGGACGUGUAACUCAACAUUCCAGCUGUAAUAUUUCUGCAGCUUCAGUUGUACAUUUUAUCUGAAUAAAAGUUGUUGGAGGAAAAAAA